AUGAAAGAACUAGAAAAUCAACUUCCUGAAGACGAGGAUGAUCAAGUUGGUCAAAAUACAUAUCUGCUCAAAUCAUUGGACCAGAUAGACCAGGUCGAGUACGUAUGUUUGGUGAUGGUGUUAACCCAUCUGAUUUAUGGGGAGAAGUUCCAAGCCGUAGUACAUGCAAUCGGAUAGUGAUGGAGCAAAGGACAAAGUUAGAAAAAAUGGAUGAACAAGUUAGAAAGCAAGGCCAACACAUUGCAAUGUUAGAAUCAAAGAUUUGCAAUCAAUCAAACCAAAACCUUGGUUCAAAUUACAACAGUAUACAACACACAACAUUAUCAAGUAGUCCAUUACUUUCUGAUCCAGUUAGUUUAUCUCUAAGGGUUGGAUGCUCUGUCUCGAUAAAAAGUCUAUUUGAUUCGAUGAAAAUUGUGGCAAAAGGAGUUGUUCAUAGCAUGGAUCCAAAUACUGAAGUAGGAAGAUAGGCAUUGGGACCAAAUUGGUGUGAAAUACAAGUUCUAGUUGUCUUAGAACGGGAAGAGAGUUUGAUUAGGCCAUAUGAUCUUUUACAAAGGUUUGAGGAUUCACUUGGAGGAAUGAUAGCUUGGCCUUGCCAUCUGUUGGCAGUUAAUGAAGAAGACUUCUACUAGGUGCAUUUGGAGUUUAGUGGCACAAUAGUAAGGUGACAAGAAUAUUGGAUUUUGUUUAAGAUGUGAUGGUUGAAGAAUGAAG